rnacentral:rRNA from 1 species
CGAACGCUGGCGGCGUGCCUCAUACAUGCAAGUUGAGCGCUGAAGGUUGGUACUUGUACCAACUGGAUGAGCAGCGAACGGGUGAGUAACGCGUGGGGAAUCUGCCUUUGAGCAGGGGACAACAUUUGGAAACGAAUGCUAAUACCGCAUAAAAACUUUAAACACAAGUUUUAAGUUUGAAAGAUGCAAUUGCAUCACUCAAAGAUGAUCCCGCGUUGUAUUAGCUAGUUGGUGAGGUAAAGGCUCACCAAGGCGAUGAUACAUAGCCGACCUGAGAGGGUGAUCGGCCACAUUGGGACUGAGACACGGCCCAAACUCCUACGGGAGGCAGCAGUAGGGAAUCUUCGGCAAUGGACGAAAGUCUGACCGAGCAACGCCGCGUGAGUGAAGAAGGUUUUCGGAUCGUAAAACUCUGUUGGUAGAGAAGAACGUUGGUGAGAGUGGAAAGCUCACCAAGUGACGGUAACUACCCAGAAAGGGACGGCUAACUACGUG